AAAAGCUUGUGGGGGACAUAUAAAGGGGAAUUGUUGGGUGGUGACGGUUGAACUUAACCAAACCACACCCAAACCCAAGGGUUAAAACCUAACUCAUGGUCCAAGAAUCUAACCCUAGGGUUCUGCUGCUUCUACUUCCAUGUAUAUAAAGGGGUAAAGGGGCAAGUUAACUCUGCCGCAGCCACUUGCCAUCUCUUCUCUUCUCUGGAGCUUCCUUGAGCGAAAAUCAAUUUUAUAAUACCUUUUCUCCGUUCCUUCUGUUUAUUAUUUGAUAUUAUAUUUGUUUGUUUGUAUAUUAUAAUCCAAAUCCGAGUGGGUGUCGGGAGAUGGUAAAGCAAAUGACGAGAAUUUUGGAAACUGAGAAGCUCGUGACGUUGAUCAAUCAUACUUCCAUGACUCCGAUGCUUUUCCUCUUCACCCUCUUCUAUCAUUCUCCCUCUAUUUCUUCUCCGUCUUGUAUUGAUUUUUCAAUAUAUCCUUCAUCAGAUUUUUCUUUUCGUUUGAUUUGUGGUUUUUUUUUUUUGUUUUUAAUCAUUUCUUGAUUGUAUGUUGAAAUUUUAGGUUGUGUUUGGUUCUCUGGAAAAUUGUUUGAUUGAAUAGAAAACUCAAAUUUGGGAUUCAAUCUUCACAGAAAAUUAUUUUGAAGUUAGAUGAUAUGUUUGUGAGAUUGAUGGUUGAGCAACACAACAUGUAUGUUGAUGAAUUUAAUGAUGUGAAAGUAGACUGUUAUUAUAAUACAUAGUAGAAUGGGCAUGAGAAUGAGUUGACAAACAUACUAAGAUGGUGGCAUGGUGAUGGAAAAUGAAAGAAAGAUUAAAAAAUUGCAUUUCAUGAUUUUUAUGUGUGAUUUUGAGGUUUUGCAAAGAUGAAUCUUAUUAUUUUAAGGUUAUGUUUGGUUUUAGGGAAAUACUAAGAAAAUAAAAAAAAAUGUAAAAGAUAAAUGAUUUUGUUUUUCUUUGAAAAGUAUAAAAGAAAAUCAAAUAUGAUUAAAUUUGUAUGUAUUUUUAUAUUAUUUAAUCUUUAUAUAAGUAAAAUAAAAUAAGUAAUAAAUAAAAGUAAUUUAAUAAUUUUUAAUCUGUUUUUUAUUUUUACCUUUUUUUCUUUGUAUUUCUUUUUUCAAUUUUUUUAAGAAGAUGAUAUCAAAAUAGUGAGAUUUCACUGAACUUAAAGGUUAAAGAAAUAUUGUGAAUACAAUUUAACUUUUCCUUUUAUUUCGAAAAAAAAGAAAAACAUUAUUGAAAUUAUUUUUAUUGAAUUAAUUAAACAUAUAAUUUAUUUUUGAAGGGUUAGAAGUCUUCAAUAUUGCUCAUAUGAAAAUGUUAUUUUAGGAGAGAAAAAAAGUCUACAAACAGUUCAGAUAUUAGUAUAGAUAAGAAAGCCUAAGAGAUUUAAAUUAAUAAAGAAACAAAAUAUAAUAAUCUAAACUUUUUUUAAAAAUGAUCUUUAACCAAUUGCAAUAUUUCUAGAAAAUACAUAAGCUUCAAUUUUAUGUAUUAAUAGAAUGAUAUAAAGAAAAAAAAAUCACAUACAAAAUUACACAAAAUUUUAACAUGAUUUGACUAAUUAUGACUAUAUUUAUAAAUCAGUAAUCAUAUCUAUAUUUAAGCGGAAUCAUAUACUACUUUUGUUUGGUAAUUGUUUUUGAAAAUAAUUUUGAAAAAUAGUUUUUGAAAAUUAUUAUUUGGUUUUUGAAAAUAAUUUUGAAGAACAGUUUUUGAAAAUUAUUAUUUGAUUUUUGUAAAACAAAAAUUUGUUUGGAAACCUAAAAUGUUUUUAAUAUUUUUAAAUAUAUUUUAAAAAUAAUUUUUAUAUCUAAUAUUUUGUUCCCAAAGAGGCCCUUCAUGGUUCUUUGUUUCUAAUAUCUACACCUUGAAUUUUAAGUCAUAUUCUAUGUCGAGCAUGCUCCUUUGGGUGUUUCACGUGCUCUCUUAUUGUUCUACCUAUCUCAUAUAAUUUUUUCAAUCUCAAACUAAUAUUAUAAUAUUUCCCUCUAAUAAUUUAAAAUAUUCAUAGCUAUAACUUAAAAAAAAAACAUUUUUGCACAAAGAAAUACCAAUGCAUAAAAUACUCCAUAAAUUAUUAUUUACUAGAAGAAUGUAUGAUAAAUAAGAAUUUGAGGCAUAUAUUCCUAUAAUAUCUUUUCUUUAUAAAAAAAAAACAUAUAUCCAUGAAGAAAUAUCCAUAUGUAAUACUCAAUAUAAUAUUUUUUCUACCAAAAAGAAUCUAUAGGAAACUUGAAACACUUCAAUAAUUUAUGGGAUCAAUUACUAUAUUUAACAUAACCAUACACACAAGCAAAAAAACAAAAAUAAAAAAUAAAAAAUAAGAGAUUUUGAGGUGGUUUGAUAAUUAAUGUGAUUUCUCUCCAUGGAACACAGUAACACUCAAUAAUUCAUUUAUCUACGGAAGGUAGAAAAUGUUAUAAUGGUGAAACCGGUCACACACUAUUUUCUUUUACUUUUUAACUAAACCCUAAAUCAUAAAAGGGUUAAAUACCAGCGGGGGCUCAUCAUUCAACAAAUAAAAAAAUAUCUCCAAGGGAUGUUGCCCCUUCAACCCUAUGAGCCUAAACAACUCAAGCAUUGGGAGCUCAACAAGGAACUCGACUAGACAUCCUUUGCAUAGCGUAAUAAAGCCGAUUCAGGCUUCACAACAAUUGUAUAAUUUGAAUUAUGAUCCUCAUACAUUUAAAGAUUAUAUUCUUGGUAGCAAGUGUGAUACCUCACAUUAGAUAAAAGAAAGAGUUUUAACAGUUAUAUAGUUAUAUAUGUAUAGACUUUUUUUAACCUUAUAAAUGUGUUUUAAAGUCAUUAUGGUCUUUUGGGCUUAUAUUAAAUAAUAUCUACAUGAUUGAGGUUAGUUGUUUUUCACAAAGCUGGCCAACAAUGGUAAUGUUUCAAUACACUUUUUAUGCUUUAUUUUUUAUAAAAGGGAAUUUCUUAUAUAAAAUAUGAAUCUUAUACAAAAAGUAAAUAAAUACCUCAUAUAUUUAAAAAUACUUUUUAAAAUUAUAAAAAUUAGAGAAAAUAAGAAAAUUUCAUUUUCUCCAACUAUUAAAACUUGGAGAAGUGUUCUUAAGAACACAAGGUGAUUUCUUUUCCCCCUAAUUUGUACUUCCAUCAUUCUUAGAAAAAUAGGACCAGGAAUUGGCUCUCAAGACAUUUUCAGAGCCAUACAAGACAUCUCACAAGCACAAGACUCUGAUGGAGGCAAAUUGAAAUAGAUGCAUAUGAUGAUUCCAUUCAAAUGGACCUCCCUGUAGGCAACCAAAUAAUAUAAGCUUUUAAACUUUUUGGUAAUCAGACAAAUGAUCCCCUUAUGCAAAAGGGACAAUAAUGAUAUCAUAAAACACAAUUUCCUCAUUUCAUUUUCUGCAAAAGAGCCUGUUUUGGACAACAUCAAGGUCUUCAAAUGCCCUGAGACAAAUAAUAACUGAUCAUUAUCCAACAGUAAGUUACAAUACAAAUUGGAGAUCAUAUUUAUUUGGAGUCUACAUCCAAAAGCAAAACCCCACAUGAGGUGAAUUCAUAACAGACUGGAAAGGCUUCAAAAGUAGUUGCUGCUAUAGAAAUUCUUUAGGAAUUCAGACAUGCCCUGGUCCUUGGCGCCCGCAUCCUGCACAAGAUGUUCCCUAGCCAGCACAUAUUGCCCAAUGAUGUGGUGACGUUGCUUUGAAUGCUCUACAACAUUCCUGAACUCUUCCAUGCCCUUGAAGAGAAGCAUGUCAAUCACCUGCAAGUUUUUUCUCAAAUUCAUCAAGAAGAUGCCGGAGAACCACAAUCAUUACAAAUUUCAACUGACAACAUAUUCGUUGACAUAUGUGGUUGCUCUUCUGAGCCAAUAUCAGAAAAAUAUGUCACCAUUAGGCAAAUAAGCAAUGAGUUUCAACAAUUUCUUCAGGCAUGAGGCAGCAACUAAAUCUCUGAUAAACACCAACAUGAAAACUAGACCAUAGUUUUUUUGGGUCUAGCCAAGCCAAUCUCAGGCGUAAAAUAAGAGCUCAUUUGCUAUGCUAUCCUUUGUUCCAUCAACUCAUGCUUGGCUUCAUAUAUUGGCCUUUUGAAAGCAUAGGACUUGUUACAGGCAAUUGAAGAACAAAGUACCAACUAUAAAGAUAAAGUAAUAGGCAAUCAAGGUGGUCAACUUUAACAUUAAACCUCUCAGAAAGCAAAAAGCUUCUGGGCAACACUUUUGGGCAAGCAAAGCUUCUUUCUUUCCUUUUUUUAUAUUAGUUUAAUUAUUAUUAUUAUUGAUAGGAAAAUACAUUAAACAAGCACCUAGAAAAAUGGGGGAGCAUCCCUUGUAUACAGGCUGUAAAAAGACAAUGCCAGUAGCUGAAAAAAAAAGUGGAGCAAACUGAUGCCCUUAGGGAUCAAAAAGAAAUUUCUUAAGAAAUACAAAAAAUUUCUGCUCUUUCUAGAUACAGCAAAGCGAUAGAGAAAGGGCCAGCCUCCAAAAGAUCUUAAACCUCCUAACAAAACUCACAUGCACCAAGCAGUAAGUACUUUCACAGGAGGAAGCACCCAAGAAAUACCAAGAUAGAGAACACCAAUUGAAGGUUGCUCAUUCCAACCAAGUGGUUCUAUGGGAAGCAAUACCAAACAACAUCAUAAAACAAUCCUUCAACAGGUGAUCCUCACACUAACAUCAAACAAAUGUCACUGAUAGAAUUGGCCUGACUAGAUUGGAAUACAUCGCAUUUAUGUAGGUGUCCUACUCCAGUCCACAAAGCGUUGAAUCAAAAGAAGAUUGCAAAGGCAAGCUAAACUUUCAUGGAAAAUCAGACUUCUAAGUGACAGAAAAGGGCUUUCCAAACCUGGUGGUUAGGGGGGGAAGGAAAAAGGCAAGAAUCAAACAACCAAACUAGCCCUUUCUUCAACAAGACAAUUAAGACUAGCAUUCAAAGGAAGGAAAAGGAAAUUGUAAAGAUAAAGAGGAACAUUAGUUACUUCCUUCCACUAUUCCACUAAUAAUUUGAAGGUGUCCCCACAUUUCUUUCCUCAUAUUUUCACCCAAAAAAGAAAGCUCAUAAGUUAAGCUACCUUCACUGUCAAGGAUUUUCACAGGUUCAACCUUGCCACAACAGUAAAAUACUUGAAUGACAAAUUGAACCUCAAGAUGUUAGUUGAGAAUAAAUGUAAAUCAAGAGAUAUAUAAAUAAAAUACCAGGAUGUAUGUGUGCCUGUAUGUUCUACUGGGUCCCCUUUGAUUUUUUGCCAUGCCAAUAUUAAAAGAAUUAGUUAAUUAAUUGAAAGCAUAUUUGAAUUUUCCCAAUUCCUACUAAAUAAUAAAAAGGCUUGCUCUGUUGGCACACCAUGAUGUGAAGCCAAUGGUGGUAUUUGAUUGCUCCUACUUUGAAGUAAACCCGAUUAGUUAAAGCAAACAAGCACUCCUCAACUCAACAAGGCAGUUACCAAAAGCACCUCAAACAAGAUGGGAGGCACAAGAUUAAGUUUCCAAAUUAUGUGUAUUAUGUUAGUUAUAUAUCUUAUAUUUACCUCAUUCCACCAAGUCAAUUGAGCAAGAAAGUCGUUAGGUCAGGUCAUUAAAGUAUAUAUAUAUAUAAAGGUUAAAAGGAUUAUUUUUAAACCUAACAUAUGGCAUCAAGUCACCUAUUUGAAUAGGUUGUAUUUCAUCAUGUGUCCAAGUUACCCAAAAUUGUUUCUCUGUUCUACUGUGUACUAAUCUCAACUAAGCCUUAAUCAAUAAUUUUAUGUUAGCUGCUCAUAUUAGAUUUUUUUUUUUUUUUUGAUAAGUAAAAGUAUUGUAUUACAAAGAGGCGCUAAAAUAGCGGCCCAAGAUGUACAGGAAAGAGACCCCCUUACAACUAAAACAAAAAACUGUCCAACAAGAUAUACAGAAAAAAACAACCCCUCCUCAUCGGAAACCCACCCAAUCAAUGAAAUCUAUUAACGUCGAAGGACCAUAUUUUAUAAACAAUUUAGUCUCCGACUAAAGUAAAUAUACAAAAGAAGUUUUCAUCCUUUGGAUGGAUAGCACAUACUCUUCAAAGGUAACUCUAUUCCUUACCUUCCAAACUGACCAAAACAAGCAUAAAAGGUUUGCUUCCCAAAAUGUCCUGCGCUUUUGACCUACAAAAGACCCCUUCCACCCCAAGAGGGUUUCCCUAACCGAGGAAGGAAACACCCAAGACACUCCAAACAAAGUAAAGAAUAACUUCCACACAUCCCUUGUCUUUUCAUAUUAGAUAUAUCUAUUUUCUUCACAAUAAUGAGUCUUUAAAGAAAAAAUAUCAUUAUGGAUGAGAAAGAUCCAUCUGGAGAACAAGAAUGGAAUAACAGAGCAAGGAAUGCCAACUAAGACCAAAUAAGAGACUCAGAGAAACCGUACUAGAAAUGUCCAUUACACAGAAACAUAACACUUGAAAACAUUCAUUAUGACAAUUCACCUACCAAGGACCUCAGAUGAGCUAUUCCCCCUCGUGUGAAAAUCUUAGCAUUCACUUCUUCCAAAAAGACUGCAUUAUGGCUUCAAUGAGACUUAUAAAAUGACUGGACCAAGGACACUACUCUGGAGCAACAUGACUAACUCCUCAGACUGUGCUCAAUCAACUGGCCACUAAGGCAAUACAACGAAGCAAAAAGAUGCAUUGAGGAAUUGAACUGUCAGCCACAAAAAUUCUUGAACCAUUAUUAGAAAAAGAAGCUUGCAAAUAAUCCACACAAGACUAAAACCUGCCAACCCCACCUCACCCUACCCCAAACCCCAACACCAAUAAUGCCCAACUCAACACCAAAAAGCCUCCCCUCUUCUCACUUUUCCAACCAGCUAAUAAGAUCCCAAUACAAUUAUAAUUUCCCAGCAUUGUUUUGAAACUUGUAUCUCGCCACCACUUUCAUCCAUAGAUUAUAAAGCCUGCCCCAAAGUACCAAUUCCUUUGGCAAGUCUUUCAUCAAGUUAUGAAAUGCUGUAGUGAUACAGUUCAGCCACAAAAAUUCUUAAAGAAUAUUUCAAUGAUAUUGAAAAUAGAAAAGAGUAAAAAAUUUAAAAGAAAUAACAAGAAUAAUAAAAAAAUAACAGUAAUGAUAUCAUUGUUCUCAUGAGAUUCCCAAUGAUCCAAUAAUCUUUGAGAUUGAGGACACAUAGUCAAAACUUUUAAACUAAAAUGCUCGUUUAAAUUUAUAACAUUGAGUUUUAUGUUGAGUUUACCACAAUCGGAUACAAGUUCCUGACAUUACAGUGCUUAUCUCUAUUAAAUUUGAUGCAUUCUAAUGAGUGAGACUCCAUUUAAGUAAUGUAGAUUCUCCAUCUAAAUUUUUCUCAAAACACACCUUGUUCAAUAAUAAAGAUACCUCAGGAAGCACAAACUGCAAUAACUUCAUUUGUUAUAAAGUAGAUUUAUCAACGGCUUCAAGAAAAAAAUCAAAAGUCAGGAGGAGACAAUAAUUUGUAUAGGAAUAUGAUACGCAGCAUGUCCUAAACUAAUAGGAAUUUUCAAAUUCAAUAAGCAACUAUUUAAUUUUUUAACACGGAGACGAAAUCAUAAAUCCUAAUGGGUGAGGCUUAUAAAUUUGAAAAUGGAUUUUCUUGCGUUUUUAACAUAAAUAAUUCUAUGUGGAAAACCAAUUCUUAUUCGAAUUCCCCAACUAAUUGAAACAUUUACAUAAGAAUUAAAAAGGAUUAUAAAGAUGAAAGAUUCUCCAUAUCACAAAAACUAGCCAACUAAGAGCACACAUUACGCACCAAAAUUCAUAAUCCAAAAAGAUGGGUUUCGCAAGAAUUGAAAUACGUAGAGAAUACAUGAAUCAAAACCAACAAUGAAUGAAAUGUAGUGAUUGUUAAAUUCAAAUACACGUAAAUCACAAUGGGACCACCAAUUUCCCCAAUUCAUCCAAACACGCCCUUACCCUCCAUUUGGUUUCCGAGGUAAUUGAGACGAAACAAAAAGGAACAAAAUAAAUAAAAUUUUGAAAAGGCCUCACGCUGUCACGCCUUCGAUCCAAAUGCCUGUAUUAGGUCCAAAUAAGCGGCAAAUUUUUCACUCAAGUUCCAAACAAUGAAAAAAAAUUGAUUUUGAUUAUGAUUUUCCAUUUUUCCCACCUUUUCAGAACAACCAAACAGGACAGGCUUGCAACCAGAUUACAUACCAGAAAAAACGACGCCGCUUUAGAGGGGAAAAGGGACAAGAAAAGCAGAGGGGCAGUACCUUAGUGUUAGUGACGUGGGAGUUCUUGCGGAACUCAGAGGCGAUGAUGGAGCGAAGCUGGGAGACGGUAACGACGUCGUCGAGAUUGUAGAUAUCCAUGAUUUUUGGUAUGGAUCUGCAAACCAUCUUGAAGAAAUCGAAGGUCCGACUCCGAGCCUCUUCCAGAUUCGCUGAGUUCGCUGGAACCCUAACGUUCUUCAGCAUCACCGACGCCAUUUUUCCUCACUGCUCUUCAACCAUUUGCAAGUUCCUCUGAAAUUUAUCUAUAUAGAAUCUCCUAUCUAAACGACGUCGUUUUAUUUUUUUCAUUAUUUAAUUUUUUUUAAUAUAUUUGUAAGUUUUAAGAAAUAUUUAUUUUUUUCUUCUAUAAAUUUUAAAUAUCAAUCAAACACAAAAUCGAUCAUUUUCAAUCUUGAAAAACCUAUAAAUUUUCCUUGAAAUAAUAUUAUUAUUACCAAUUUGUUGAUUUCUUUACUAGGCUCUUAUUUUUAUUAAUUAUUUCUUUGAUUUCAUCUAUUAUCAUAUUAGCCUAUUUAAUAAAAAUUUUGUAACAAAAAUCAAAUUAUCAAUAUAUACGUAAUUUUGAAAUUUCACUCUUUAUUUAUUUAUUUUCAUAUUUCACCAUAUGGAGAUUCCAAGCUCUCAUUUUUGUUGGACUAGAACUCUUUAUAUUUGCCAAGGGACUUCAAUAUGAGUCCUUACUAUGUAAAAGCAAUUUUAAAGGUUUAGAGGUUAACAAAUUUUAUUUUGUAAAUUAAGCAUGGAAAAUUUUAGGGUUCUUAAUAAACCCUUACUAAGAAAACGGAUUCGGAGUUUGACAUAUAUGCAAGCAACACAAAGAUGCAUAAUCAUUAAAUUGAGAAAUGAUCAACUCUAAUGGCGUAGACUUUUGAUACAUCCAAUGACUUCAACCCCAAACUAACUUGACAUUUGGAUAGAGUUAAGUAAUCAUUUUCAACAUUCGAGUUAUGAUUUAAGUUAAGGUUUGCUUAGUUUGAAUUCAAUUUGGGUUAGGCUCGGGUUAAGGUUUGGACAAGGACAACCCAAUUCUAACUUGAAUCAUUUUAUAAUAUUUAUCAUAUAUCUUAUUAUGCUUAAUAAUAUUUAUUUUCUUUUUUAGAUUUUUAAGAAAAAAUAUAAAAUUAUAUCAUAUAUCAUAUACUUUUCAUUUUUUAUUUUUUAGAAAGAUAUAUAAAUUUAUAUAUAUAUAUAUAUAUAUAUAAAGUUUUUUUUAAAGAUUAUUAUAAA
rnacentral:lncRNA from 1 species